rnacentral:rRNA from 1 species
ACAAGGGGGGCGUGCUUAAUACAUGCAAGUCGAGCGGACAGAUGGGAGCUUGCUCCCUGAUGUUAGCGGCGGACGGGUGAGUAACACGUGGGUAACCUGCCUGUAAGACUGGGAUAACUCCGGGAAACCGGGGCUAAUACCGGAUGCUUGUUUGAACCGCAUGGUUCAAACAUAAAAGGUGGCUUCGGCUACCACUUACAGAUGGACCCGCGGCGCAUUAGCUAGUUGGUGAGGUAAUGGCUCACCAAGGCAACGAUGCGUAGCCGACCUGAGAGGGUGAUCGGCCACACUGGGACUGAGACACGGCCCAGACUCCUACGGGAGGCAGCAGUAGGGAAUCUUCCGCAAUGGACGAAAGUCUGACGGAGCAACGCCGCGUGAGUGAUGAAGGUUUUCGGAUCGUAAAGCUCUGUUGUUAGGGAAGAACAAGUACCGUUCGAAUAGGGCGGUACCUUGCCGGUACCUAACCAUAAAGCCACUGCUAACUAAAUGCCAGCGUCCACGUUAAUACGUAUGUGGCAAGCGUUUUCCGGUAUUAUUGGGCGUAAAGGGCUUGCUCGCGGCUUCUUUAGUCUGAUGUGAAUCCCCCCCGGUACACCCGGGGACGGCGGUUGGGAAAUUGGGGAACU